ACUGUGGACAAAACCUGAAAGCAUCCAAGGCUAGAAUGGCUAGAUGGUGGCUGGUCACACUAGCAGAAGUAACUCAGAGGUUCGGUUCGGUAGAAAGCAUUUCACAGUUUUUAGCUAGGAUUUAUUUUUAAUUUGAGAAGUUUGGGUAAACAAAACCUUAAAGAAAAUCAAGUUAUAAUAUUUUUUUUUGCUUUAUUUUUGAUUUAAAAAAUUAAAUUAGACUUUUUUGGUCCCUCACCAUCAUUGCACCUACAGACCAAGUUUUAAUUUUCUGGUGUACAUACACACCGAUUAUGCAUUCAAUUUGCAUUUGCUCUUAGUUUUCUCCUUUUCGUAGAACUUUGUAAAAAAUUGACUAAGACUUAAAUUGAGGCCGUUAAAGAAGUUAUAUCAACGUGGUACAGUUUCCAUUGUCAUGUCUUGUACAAACUUCAAGUGAGCGUGUUACAUUUAGGACCAGCCUGGUUUUGCUUUGAGGAUAUUUCCCUUUUUGUCGUAACCUAGAGACGACUUUAAACCAAGCGGGAGAUUGCCGACAAUUCUAAUCAUUUCUUCUUCUCUUCCGUUUAGGGCGCCAAGACGAUCAUCUAAUUGGUAGGUAUGGUGUUACAUACAUUUGGAGCUUUGGAGAUCGGUUCGAAACGUUUUCCAAAGCGAAAGAACAAAAGUAAUGGUCGCUCCUUCUCAAACGCUUGAUUUCUUGUAAUCGAAAAGUUUCAAUUAAUUUGUCUUACAAGCAGUAAGAUGAUAAAGAUUAUUUGAAAUCAACACACAUAAUUGUUUUCGUGGUUGACUCGUUUGUCAAGCUGUAAAACAAUACACGAACAAUUUGCCAAAAGACGUAACGUUUUACAAGCCGCUAUGAACCAUAGAAAAGUCUUAAAUGGCGUGUAAAAUGUUGCAAAUAACACAAAUUACACAAAUACAUGUAACGUUUUACGCGCCUUAACCAGUCUAAACAACAAAUGAAUUUGUAAAUUUUGUAUAACCAUAAAUGUUGUACGAAACUUAUUCAAUUCUGAAGAAACCCCUACAACGCAUUUAGAGCAGGACGGUUAUAGAGAGGUGGACUCUUUCUUAUUCCUGACUGAAAGAGAAAGAGAAGAUAGAUCGUGCUGGAUAAGAACGAGACGGCUUUAGUGUUACUAAUUUUGUGUAAAUAAACGAUGAAUUGCCAAUAAAUGCAGUAAAAAAAACAAGAA